UUAACACAUUUAUUGUUUCGUCGGGGAGUAAAGGCAGCGCGAAAAAAGUUCCCAUCACCAGAAUUGACUUUGGUAAAUUUUUUUGGAAACGAUGACAUUUAACUUGGCAUUACUUUUCACCCUACUUUUUUAAAGGGCUACAUCAACCUCUUCAAUCGCCCAACACGGCAGUUCGUGAGAAAACCUUUCGUUGAUUUUGGAACAAGCCUUAAUGGACAUACCUUUGACGU